rnacentral:rRNA from 1 species
UACGGAGGUGGCAAGCGUUGUUCGGAAUUACUGGGCGUAAAGGGCGCGUAGGCGGCCCGUCAAGUCCCGUGUGAAAGCCCCCGGCUCAACCGGGGAACGGCGCGGGAAACUAGCAGGCUUGAGUUCGGGAGAGGGAAGCGGAAUUCCGGGUGUAGCGGUGAAAUGCGCAGAUAUCCGGAGGAACACCGGUGGCGAAGGCGGCUUCCUGGACCGACACUGACGCUGAGGCGCGAAAGCUAGGGGAGCAAACGGG